UCCCAGUUAGUACAAUGGUUAGUAUAGGGCACUCUCACUGCUCAGAUCAGGGUUCGAUUCCCUGGCCGGGAA
rfam:Pseudozyma antarctica DNA, scaffold: scaffold_v10009, strain JCM 10317, whole genome shotgun sequence.